AAGUCGUAACAAGGUUUCCGUAGGUGAACCUGCGGAAGGAUCAUUCAUGACAAGUGUUAAUGGCACUUUCAUCCAUUACCCACCUUGUGUGCAAUGUCGGGGGGAGGACCUCACGGUUCUCUCUUUCAUAUACAUACUACUUUUUCAACAUCAGUCUACAAUCUAUUUUAGAGGAUAAAAACUCGAAAAUACAACUUUCAACAACGGAUCUCUUGGCUCUC
rnacentral:misc_RNA from 1 species